rnacentral:lncRNA from 1 species
GAGGGGACCGAGCCCACCCCACCGCCCACCGGAGUGCGGGGGGACGCCCCCGGCCGGAGAUCGGCCCCGGCGCGUGGGGUAUGCGCAGCUAACGGUCCCGUCGGGCGGGCUUUCCUCUGGCGGAGCGCGCAGGCGGUGCGCCCCAGCUAUGGAGUGUCCGGGGAGACGGCGGGCAUGACGGCGGCAGGAUGGGCGCGAACAAUGGCAAACAGUACGGCAGCGAGGGCAAAGGCAGCUCAAGCAUCUCAUCCGACGUGAGCUCAAGUACAGAUCACACGCCGACCCAAGCCCAGAAGAAUGUGGCUACCAGCGAAGGUAGGCAUCUGGUCUUCAUUAUCUCUUGUGCUCUCGUCACAGUGCUGGCUGUAUUUGGAAGACACAUAAAAUGUGUGAGUCUCAGAUCUGUUCUGCUGAGUGGGAGCAUAUGGGAUUUUCAAAAAUGGGAAGGCCAAGGCUUUCUCUUUUAUUGCAUUGUUGUCAAUGUCUACUAAAGUUGUUUUGGUGCAGUUUAAGGUAAAUGCUGUUAUUUUGUCAAAGUAUAAUAAGCUGACUUUUGGGAAUGUUUAUGAAUGAUGUCUUGUUUUUCAGUAUGGGAAACAUGAUUGUAAAAUCCUUUUGCUCUAGUUGAAAGUUCCUGCAAGAACUUUGGAAAUAAGCACACCUGGAAUUUGGGAUUUUGAUAAUGGGAAGG